UACAGGGGGGGCAAGCGUUGUUCGGAAUUACUGGGCGUAAAGGGUCUGUAGGUGGCCAACUAAGUCAGACGUGAAAUCCCUCAGCUUAACUGGGGAACUGCGUCUGAUACUGGAUGGCUCGAGUGUGGGAGAGGAAUGCGGAAUUCCCGGUGUAGCGGUGAAAUGCGCAGAUAUCAGGAGGAACACCAAUGGCGAAGGCAGCUCGCUGGGACGUGACUGACGCUGAGACGCGAAAGCGUGGGGAGCAAACAGG
rnacentral:rRNA from 1 species